rnacentral:rRNA from 1 species
CCUACGGGAGGCAGCAGUGAGGAAUAUUGGUCAAUGGCCGGAAGGCUGAACCAGCCAAGCCGCGUGAAGGACGAAGGUGCCAAGCAUUGUAAACUUCUUUUGUCAAGGGACAAAAUCAGGCUCGAGAGCCUGACCGAGGGUACUUGAAGAAAAAGCAUCGGCUAACUCCGUGCCAGCAGCCGCGGUAAUAGGGAGGAUGCGAGCGUUAUCCGGAUUUAUUGGGUUUAAAGGGUGGGUAGGCGGGCGGUUAAGUCAGAGGUAAAAGCCCGGGGCCCAACCCCGGCGAGCCGUUGAAACUGGCUGUCUUGAGAUGGAGAGAGGUAUGCGGAAUGCGAGGUGUAGCGGUAAAAUGCUUAGAUAUUGCGAAGAACUCCGAGUGCGAAGGCAGCAUACCGGCGGCGAUCUGACGCUGAGGCACGAAAGCGUGGGUAGCGAACAGGAUUAGAUACCCUAGUAGUC